CAUUCAUGCUUCCAGAGCUUCCUUUCUGUUGAUCAGGGAUUACGGGAAUGAUGUUUUAGAAAUUUGGUCACCUGGUUUGUAAAGUAAGGUCUUCCUGGGCAGAGUUUUGCUUUUCCCUUUGUCUUCUGAGGUAGAUUUAUAGGCAGCUCUUGUUAUUUACACUAAAGGAAGGAGGAGAGAGAGAGAUUUUAUAAAAGGCAUGAUCCAUGAAAGAAAG
rnacentral:lncRNA from 10 species